AAAACCACAAUAUCGAAUGGAAGUGACCGAAAAAACAUACUUUGAUGAUACAACACUGCAAAUAAUACAAAAUAACACAGAUAAAAAUCAGAGAUGCAUGCUUUUGACUCCACCCAUUGGUGAGGUCACCACAAAAGAAGCAGUUUUUACAAGAAGUUUGGAUCUUACGACGGGACAGCUAACACAACAUAUAAACACACACACACAACAAAGAAGAACCAUCGCCCAGUCACAGCUAAACAAAUCAGCGAAUGAAUCCGUCACACCCACCGGCUACAAACACACACAGCACGUGUGUGUGUAUGUGUGUGUGCAUGUGUUUCAUGAGUAGUAAGCCGAUGCUUUCUUGCUGGAAUGAGGUGGGAGUCGACGCAUGGAAAGAAGAGGGGGGACCCUGAUGCAGCAUGGAGGAGGAAGAAUGAGGCGGUGAGGUUUUCUGCAGCGCCACAACAGCUAAAACACAUGAAUGGAAACUGACCUGCAGUAGAGCGACUCCAAUGAAGAUCCCGGCCACUAAGGUGAGGUUGUCCUGCAGCCACUUCUCAAACUGUGGCACGCAGCCUUUCACGUUGAUGUAGUCCUUCUGCUCCGAGUCCUGUGUGAACGUAAGCACACUUAUUUUCACACUCAUCUACACUUGAAUUAAAAGACACCAGCUUCAGGGGAGGCAAAGUAAGAUAUCUUCCAAUCCGUCUUGACUGUUAUCCAUUGUAGGAGAAACAUGAACAAGAUAAAUCUUUUGGAUUUAGUUUUUAUGAGUUCUAUAAUCAAUUGUUUAAAAUCUGUUACACAUCACAAUUUUUAAGUCCAUAAGUGGUAAAUUAAAAGAUUAGCGCCAUUUAUCCAAUUUUGACGUAAAACCAUUACUGACUCUGUAUCGCUACAAUCAAAAAAGAGGGAAAAGACAUUUUACAUAUUUAAAUAAAAAUAUUAAAUAUAUAUACAGUAUAUGAUAAAGGUUAAAUUGUAGAUAUGUUACUUACUGGCUUAGCUCGCAUGUCGUAUCCACACUGAGUGUUUAUUACAUCCUCCUGGAGAAUCAAUCAAAAAAGCAAACUUUAUCAUAACUAACCUCUUUACAAACAGAAUGUAAAGUUAGCAGCUGUUAAAAUGUGUGCAACUUUUUAAUACAACUAAACAAAGAAGACUAAGACCUUGCGACACAAGUUAAAUCAAUCAAUCUGAUUAAUUUAAAAAGAGGAGAACAAAUGCAACAGCAACACAGACAGUAAAUUUUAAUGUUUUCUCACAAUCAAAAAAACAGGACCCUAUGUGAAGCAGCAAAUACUCUACAUCAGUCUUUCUGAUCCUGUAAUUCUGAUUAUAAACGGAGGUGCAGUGUGGAGGAGUUGUUUGUACCGCUGGGUCUUUUGUACAACAGGAGAAAGGAACGCCACACUUUUCUCGACUUGGGUUCACGUCAGUGCAGUUGAAAUAGAUAUUCAGGUUCCAGUCAUCGGCUCCGAACGCACCACAGCACUCCCACUAAAGUCAGAAAAAUAGAAAAUAUCUAACAGUUAAUGCUCCUGUGGUCGGAAUUAAAAAUGUUUCUAUUUGCUGACCAUUAGCAGAAAUAACUACAAGUUAAUAUAUUAAUAUUUCUAUGGUAAUUUCAACUUAAUAAGGCUCAGCAGAAUUUAAUUUAUCCACGACUUCAAAGACUAGUAGAAGAAGAGAUUAGAUGAUAGUUGUAAUUUAUACACUUCCACGCAAAAUGAACUCAAAUUAUAGAAGUGUACUUUUAAAAAUAACAACUUUAACUUCUUGAUAAAGACCAAAGAAAGAAAAAUAAGAACUUAUUGGAAAUUCUUCAACAACACAGAAGCUAGCGAGCUUCAAAGUUUUAUUUCCACAGCAGGUUCACAUUAAGCUUUUCUUCAUUAUGAAUUAGCUUCUCACAUUUUCACUCUAUAACAUCUUGUCAAUAUUUCAUGUUAACUACUUGUCCACUGGGUUUUAUUUCCUGGCUGCACGUCAGUGUUUCACUGCCAAGAUGGUAGAGCUUCUCAUUAGCAAAUUGUCUCCAAAUUUAUACAGUGAGGAUGCAUUUAAAUACAUUUAUAGGCAAGACAUUUAAUAGCAUUACUCUGAGAAAGCAGUUCUAAUUACUGCAGACAUAUAAAACAAUACAAACAUAUAAGUGUUUUACUGCUUUCCCAGAAUUUCAUACCUAUCAGCACUUAGCGUACUAUAAAUGAAACAUCUUCUUAGUUAAAGGUGAACUUUCGAAACUCGUACAACUUUUAGUAGCACUUUACAAUACACUUCAGUGGAAUGCUAACAUCUGUUGAAGUGGCAACCGCUCAUGACAUCACCUAAAAAAUUAUGAACUCUCUUUAGAAGCGUCUAGAAUUGCGAUUUGACCGACGCCAUGUUGAGCAUUUGCGACCAGAACUUCAGCAGCCUCACCUGCAAAUAGGCUCCUAUUGGACAACACCAGGUGUCAAUCACACUGGUGUCCACUCAUAUGCAUUUAAAUGUUUAUUUUCCUGGAAGUGGGUCUUGAAAGUUGUGCAGAAUUUUUAACAGCCUCAAACAUAUGACGUCUGCUUUAAACUUAACAUAUUUUCCAAGACUGAGAAGGAGAAAUGAUGUCUGCUUACAUAUUCC